GCACAAGCGGUGGAUGAUGUGGUUUAAUUCGAUGCAACGCGAAAACCUUACCCACCUUUGACAUGGCAGGAAUCCCGAAGAGAUUUGGGAGUGCUCGAAAGAGAACCUGCACACAGGUGCUGCAUGGCUGUCGUCAGCUCGUGUCGUGAGAUGUUGGGUUAAGUCCCGCAACGAGCGCAACCCUUGCCAUUAGUUGCUACGAAAGGGCACUCUAAUGGGACUGCCGGUGACAAACCGGAGGAAGGUGGGGAUGACGUCAAGUCCUCAUGGCCCUUAUAGGUGGGGCUACACACGUCAUACAAUGGCCGGUACAGAGGGUAGCCAACCCGCGAGGGGGAGCCAAUCCCACAAAGCCGGUCGUAGUCCGGAUCGCAGUCUGCAACUCGACUGCGUGAAGUCGGAAUCGCUAGUAAUCGCGGAUCAGCAUGUCGCGGUGAAUACGUUCCCGGGUCUU
rnacentral:rRNA from 1 species